rnacentral:lncRNA from 1 species
GGCUUCGUCUGAUGACGCGUUUUAGGUGCCUUGGGCGGAAAGCGCCUGCAGUGGAGGAAGGCAAAGUUCGCUCCCAGUACCCGCCCCCUGCGCUGGGUCCUCCCGAAGUAGGAAACGGUGAAAGAGAGGGUCCUGUGCUGUUCUGCAGGGAAGCGUCGCUUCCGUUCAGCUGUCCCUACACCAUGGACUCAGUACCUGCAACUGUGCCUUCUGUCACUGCUUCCCCGGGGGACCCGGAGCUCCUGGGACCCCUGUCGGUGCUGUACGCAGCCCUCAUAGCCAAGCUACUGGAGGUGACGGUCCCAUUCCCAGGGAGGGACCCCAGCUCUGGCCGGCGGGUGGCUGAGUUCUGGCGGAGUGGGUGCACUGACUGUCGCGGCGACGGAGAAAUGGAGUGUGUAGGCCCAAGGCAGGCAGGAUGUGACUGUAUUGUUAAGCGAGGCCGUUGAGAGUGUACUUGAGCUUUCCCCACUUGCACUUUUUUUUUUGACGGAAUAGAGGUGACAACCUCAUGUUAUGUUCCGAAAUGCAGCCAGCAAUCGAAACAGCUAACGUUACUACAGGUCUUUUCCCUACGGAGACUGCUGGGGAAUUGGGCCCAAAUGACAGUUAUCUCGUAUUACGUGUAGAGGGCGGUGAAAACAGGGAAGAGUAGGCAGGUGUUUAAUGCACUGCCUUUGAGCAACCAUUUAAAAUUAGGCUUUGAAUUUUAUAGAAGGAUGUUAAAUUCAGAGAAGUUUAUCUAAGACAGUUUUCAAGAGUUGUCUGAAAUUACAUGUCACUUAUCUGUUUAUAUAAGAGUGGAAUGGAAGUAAGAUUUAAAAUCUUAUACGUAUGUCAUCAUCAUCAUUGUUUUUAUUUGUUGCCAUAAAAUUAAUUAGUUCUUUCAUAUAUAUGUUUUUGUCUUAAAUGAAUUUUUUAAAUUAUAAAAACCAGGUUAUCUAAGAGAAAAGAAUGAUCCAGAGGGAUUCUAGCCAGGUGUUAGACAAUGUGAUGAUAUAGGGCCUGUUACAAACUGGAAAUGUAUGCUCAAUUUAAAGUAUUUAGAUUCGGGCUGGGGUUGUGGUUCAGUGGUAGAGCACUUGCUUAGCAUGCAUGAGGCACAGGGUUAGGGUUAGGGUUAGGGUUAGGGGUUCAAUCCUCAGCACCAUAUAAAAACAAAAUAAUGUGUCCACCUAAAACUAAAGAUACAUAAAUAAAUAUUUUUUAAAAAGUAUUUAGAUUCAUUAUACUUGAAAACACUGCAAGUGAACAAAAAAUAUGAGACUGCCAGUAUCCUCUCUCUUGAAGAAGCUAUUGGAAAAUAUUGAGGAGGUGGAUUUCUGAUGAGGAGGUUGGUUUAGAAUUGCCAUGAUUCUUUGUGACUGUUUUGUUAUAAAUUUAAGGUUUCCCAUUUCUUCUAAUUUGUCUGUUUCAGCUGUUUACUACAUUGCCUGAUGAUACUCAACCUGGGCCUGAUUUUUAUGGACUACCAUGGAAGCCUGUAGUUUUCACUGUUUUGUUUGGAUUUGUAUCCUUUGUCGUUUUCUUUUGGAAAACUAUUCUUGUUGUGAGUAAAUUAACUUACUUAUACCUUAGCACAUAAGCACAAGGAUUAUUUUAUAUAGUCACUGGCCCCCACCUUUUUUUUCUUUUUCAGUUGCUAAAACACAAAUUAGUGGUUUAAGUCAAACUAACCUUAUAAAAUAAUUUAGUGUGGGUGCAGUUGGUAGAACUGGUAAUUCGUACAGCCAUCCUGACCAGUAGUUUCAUAUGUAUCAGAAGUUUUAAAAGUGGGAUAAAAGAUGGAAUAGGUUAGAUAAAUAUCCUUUUAUGUAGCAUAUAUGUCUAGUAAUCUAUAUUAAAGAAAUAACCAUACUUUGAAGAUUUUGGUAAUGUUUUUCAGUGGAACGGUGUGUUAGAUUGAAGACUUAGCACAACAUAAUUCAUUUAGGGGUUAUUGUAUGUUCGCUUAAUGGAAUAGUAGGCAGAUUUAUCUAUUUCAAAGCUUUGAGGUACAGAAAAUGCUCACAAUUAAAUGUGAAGUGGAAAAAAAAGCAGAAACUAAGAUUUAAAUGUUGAUGAACUGUAUGUUAAUAUAAACACAUAUAAACAGGGGGAAAUGCUGCAAAGAAAUACAGUAAAAUGAGAAAAAGGAGAUGAGAUAAUUUUUCCAGUCUUUUAUAUAUAUUUUUCUCAGAUUUUAUGAUUUGAUCAUAUGUUCAGAAAAUACCUUUUUAUUUGGAAGUAUAGAUUAUGUGUUGUCCAAAAAUCCAUUAAAUGUUUUGUUCAUUAAGUCUUUUUUUUUUUCUGAGCAGAAUUAGUCCAUCUCUGUGUAUGUGUGUACAUAUAUGUAUAAGUGUGUGUGUGUGUGUGUAUAUAUAUAUAUAUAUAUAUAUAUAUAUAUAUAUAUGGUUAUACAUACUUAUGUUUGUACUGUAGGUCAUUCUGUUUCAUAGUUAUUUAACAUAAUUGGAAGAAAAUUAUUUUAGGUAAAUGGACUUUGCAUAUGAAAAGCCUAACAGUUAAAGAGGCCAAAAGCAUUGGAUACAAAUAUUUUCAAAUCUGAGUGUUCUUUUUCUGAUUUCUUAAUUAUAUCAGAUAUAUCAUUGUUGAGAUAAGUUUCCUCUCCUUGUACAAUUGAGUGUAAAAUCUCUUAAAAAGUAUUCCCUUCUUAAAUAGAAGAAUCGUUUGCCUGGAUUCCUGUGAGGAAUUUUCUAAUCUCAUUGAACUUUUUCUCAGCUAAAAGAAAAAAGGAAAUAGAAGGAUAAAGAGAAGGGAAAAACAUUAAAACAUUUUAUAUUUCUCUCUCUUGUUUCUUUCAUUUCAAAAACCCCGGUACCUGUUUCUCUUUUUACUAGGUUAUGUGGGAUCUUGUUCCUAGCUGUUGCUCCUCAGUUUCAGCAUUUGACUUUGGAGCUUUAGUCCCUUCCUUAGAUGACUGCUUUUAUGCUACUUCCCAUUUUCCUCUGUUGUCAUUUUGAGUAAAAGGUUAGCAAGGCUAUGACAUUAAAGAAAUGUUCAUUUCUUUCUGUGUUGGGGUUUUCUGAAUGCAAUUUCCUAUUACGAAGAUCCCAUGGAUGAUCCUUGGACACAUCUGAGUAUCCCAUCACCAUUUAUAACAUUUGAAUAUUGUUUAAUAUUGUUUCCUUUAAUAUUGUUUCCUCAGAUUCCUUUUGAAUAGUCAUUGUUUCCAGACUUUAUCCUGGUUAUUUAGAAUUGUCAAGUAAAUUAUUUUGAGUACACACACACACACACACACACACACACACAUACACACAUCUUUACUGUGAAAUAAGGUACAUAUCUUAGUGUGUUUAUGUCAGAGGCUAUUUAUGAAAUAUCACUACCAAUUAAAUUUAAAAGGCUUGUUAACCUUUACUUAUUUUUAAUCCUAUAAAUUAUUAUCCUGAAUCAGAAUGUUAUUAAAUUCUCACUUGGUUAUGAUUCUGACUGUUGUUUUAGGAAUGCUGUUUCUAUUGAGCAGAUGUUUGACAUCAAAUUUAAUCUUUUUUCUCUCUUCUAGGUAAAAGAUAGAGUAUAUCAAGGUAAAUUUUUAGGUUUCUUAAACUUGUAAUAACCCUUUGUAUUGGUGUUUGAUGUGUGUUUUAUGUAUGUUAGAAGUAGAUACAGUGACUUUUAAUGUCUAUUAUCUUUUUUACCUCCUGAAAAUUUUACUAUUCCUAGGUUGCUAACAUGGAUAAUAGAGUAGAUGAUGAUGGUUCCAACUCUGAGAUAGGAGAUAAAGAGGAGGAACAAAUUGUGGAUAGGGAGAUGAUGAUAAGUUUUAAUUUGGGGCAGAUUAACUUUGAAUAUUGAUGUAAUGCAGAUGUAUUACAUUUGAAGAGUAUUUCUAUGCUAAUGAUUUAAUCAUGCAUUAAGUAAUUGAGUAGAUAAUUUAAAGAAUGGUAAUGUACAUCAGUAUGCUUUCAUUUCUGUUUUUCUUUGCAAAGAAUUAAAUGAUUCCAUUUUCUGAAAAGAAAGUGUUUUGAGAAGGGAGGAAUAUCAAGCUACAACACUUUACUGUAUUUCCCAUCUGUGAAAUAAGCUUAAAUUGAAAUAUCAUUUUGGAUGGGAGGGGUACCUGGGAUUGAACUCUGGGGCACUCUACUGAGCCACAUCCCCAACCCCCUAUAUUUAGAGACCAAGUCUCACUUAGUUGCUUAGUGUCUCGCUCUUGCUGAGGCUGGCUUUGAACUUGGGAUCCUUCUAGCUUAGCCUCCUGAGCCACUGGGAUUACAGGUGUGCACCACUGCACCCAGCAAAAUAUCAUCGUUCUUAUAUUUUUCUUAAAUUUUAAUAAUUUUUAUACUCAUUGCUAAUAAGCAUAGAUUGCUUUUUAAAAGCAUAAUAGUUAUGCUAAGAAGUAUUUCCUCAUAGUACCAUAUAACAUGUCUUUGCUUUUAGUAGAUUGAGUAAUUGAAUUUCAUUUAGUGAUUGUAAUAAUCUUGUGUAUUUCCCCCUUUUAGUCAAUGAACAGCAAAUUUCCCAAAAGGUGAAAAAUUUCAUGAAAGAAAAUAAAGAACUGAUGCAGAAAUUGUCAAAUUAUGAACAGAAGGUAUAAUUAUUUUGUUUUGUUUCUUUCUCCCUUGGUUCUAGCUUAAAUCAUUUCUACCUGUUUUAAUUUAAAAAUCGUAUUUUAAAAUUUUUGUUUCAUUAUUUCCUACAAAUCAUCCAAAUUCCAAGCAGUCAUAUGUAUUAAGUACUGCUUUCUUCUGGAAAAGGGUCACUUGUCUGGAAGUAACUUGUAUAGUAGCACUAUAAUUUGUGUAUCUUAAUUCUGAAUGCUUUAUUUACAUAGAUGAAGGAACAGGUCAAAGAAACCAUGAAGCAAAAUAUGAUUCUUUCUGAUCAAGAAACUAAAUAUAAGGUAAAAAUCCCUUCUUUGGGGGGAAUUACAUUCUAAACUCAAAAGUAAAUGUAAUGAGUGAGUAAUCUUGACACCUUUUUUUCCCAGGAUAAAAUGAAGCUUCUUGAAAAAGCUAAAGAACUUCUGGAUGAGAGAGCUAAAAGUCUUCAUGUUAUGUUAGAAUCUGAGAGAGAACAGAAAGCUAAGAAUCAGGACUUGGUAAGAAUUUGCUGCUAAGUGUUACUGUAAUUUGGCUUUUGAAAUAUUUUGUAAAAUUGGUUAAGUUGAACUUAGUCCAGCUGUUAACUAAAGUAAGAUUAGGAGUCAAGGAAGUUGAACCCACUUCUGCCCAUUUUGUGGAACUUUUAAGUACUGAUACAACAAAUUAUUUUUAUGGGCCUAGGAAAUAUUUUUAUUUUCAACCUUGGAUAAUUUUCAUAUUGCUUUGCUCUGCCCUUGGAAACAUGCAGAACAACUAAACAACUAUUGUCCAGUUGAACAGUAUUUUUUUACUUUUUACUUGAAAGAGUAAUGAAUUAAUCAAUUUUCUGUACUUAAAAAAAUUUUACUUACAUAUUUCAUUUUCAAUUUCUAUAAGUUUCUGUAAUUACAUAAAAGUUGCAAAAGAUAGUAGAGAGUGUGUUCUGAAAUAUCCUACCCCCAAGUAAGCUUGAUCACCUAGCUGAGGUAGUAUUUAUCAGAUUUCUCCACUGUAAAAAUUCUUUCCAAUCCUUUUCAUAUUGUAUUCUUUGGAAGUUACCAUGCACAGCCCACAGUUAAAGUAUGAAGAGUUACGAGCUCAGGAUGCAGCUCAUGGUAGAGCACUUGCCUAGCAUGCAUGAGGCCCAGGAUUCAGUCCCAGGCACUGCAAACAAAGAUUGCAGAGUUACGUCCACUUCCUUAAGGAGCGAGUAUCUUUAUAAAUUUUUUGGAAUUCUUCUGUAUGUGAGAUUAGUCUAUUCUCCCUUAAAUUUUAUCAUUUUUUACUUCAGAUAAGAAAAUUUUAAAAAUGAUCUUGGGAAAUUUUUUUCUCUAUCACUAGAAAAAAAAAUUACUAAUUUGAACUGGUUUACUUGAAACAGUAAUUAAUUAGUUAAUUUUCUAUGCUUUAAAACAUUUUAUUUACUUAUUGCAUUAUGUUUUUCUAUACUUUGACCUUUUUUUCUGGUUAUCUCAUAAACCGUAAGGUUGUGGAUGCCAUGAAAUAUUUAUGACUUCAUUUUCCCUCAUUUCUUUCAGUUCUUGAUUUUUUGCUUAGUCUAAAGCUGGAUCCCAUGCAUUUACCUGAAAUGUAAUGGGAUGGCUUGACAAAUAUUUUGUUGUGUUUAUCUUUUUUAGUAUAUAUGUGUGUGUGUGUGUGUGUGUGUACACACACACACACACACACACAUAUAUAUAUAUAUCAGUAUUUCUACUGAAAUCCUAAUGCAUAUUUUGUGUUCUGUUUUCACCUGGCAGAUAAUGGAAAAUAAGAAAUCGAUAGAGAAGCUUAAAGAGGUCAUUUCAGCGAAUACUAAUGAACUUUCAGAGGUAAAGCUGCCAACUCUUGCUAACGGGUAUUAAUACUACAUCUUAGUUUUCUUGCGGACCAAAAAUUUGAGGUGUGCUAAAAUGUGCAAAAAAUGAGAACUAUAUGAUGUCUGGUUUGGGAGAGUAUAACUUUGUUUUUUCUUUGGAAUUAAUUCACUAACUGUAGUGUUUUGCAUUAGCUUCAAAUUGUCCUUAAUGAAGCUAAGCUUCAUGAAGAGAAGGUGAAGUUGGAAUGCUGUCGGCUUCAGAAAGAAAAUACCAUGCUUAAGAAGAAGAAAGAGCAGGUAAAGAAAAUUUGAUGUCAUACAUAAUGUAAACUAGAGAAGUGAAUAUCAUUAUCUUGUAUCUUUCUUGGAUCUGUUUCUGAGGUAAGGAAUAUUCAUGUAGGACCUUUUCUAGAUAUGCAAAGUUUAAACAAUGCUCCCCAAAUUGAGUGCAUAUAUAUGUUCUCCAUCUGUUUUGGAUUUUGGGAUUAUUGCUUUUCUUAUCAAAUAUCAAUCAGUUAUUAACUUGCAUAGCCUCAAAGAAACUUUUUAAACCAGAAAAUUAAGUAUUGUAUGAUCCUCUUUUGAGUAGUUACUGAUUCACCGGCCAAGGGAAGAUUACAUGAUAAGGAGUCUAAAUUUAGGAGACAGUCAUAUGUGCCCAGCCAUUCCUGCUGGAGGUAAAUUAUUUGAAUUGGCAGCAAUUUUCUGGGGAAUGCAAUAAACAGGGUCAACUUCCUGAUAGCUCUGAUGUUCUUACUGCAGCUGUGAGAGUUGGGGCCACUCUGCCCUCUUCCUUAACCAAGGUCUCAACCCCCUCGAUUGAGGCAGGCCACCGAGGAGUAUGGCUCUCUAUUUCUUUGUCUAAGUCUUGUAGUCCUGAUGUAUCCAGUGCAGAAACCCCUCCCUAACCCAUAGGAAUUCAUGUGUUUUGGCUUUUCAGUUGCAGCAGGAAGUCAAAGACUGGAGUACAUCACAUGCUGAGCUCAGUGAACAAAUCAAAUCAUUUGAGAAGUCCCAGAAAGAUUUACAAGUAGCUCUUAGUCACAAAGAAGAUACUGUUAACGUAAGUUUAUACUCCAAAUACAUGUUUCAUCUCAUGAAUUCUCCUGAAAUCUUCUGAAUUAAAAUCGAGAGUCUUCCAACCUUUUGCUUCUUUUCUAGGCUUUGACUAAUUAUAUCACACAGUUGAAUCGGUUACAAUGUGAAUCUGAAUCUGAGGAUCAAAAUAGAGAAGAUGAGUCAGAUGAAUUAACCAAUGGAGAGGUAGCAGGUAAGAUCAGUCUCAGGGAGGUUGAAUCCUUUUUUGCUUUCCUGUCUUUAAUUAAGUAUACAGAUGCCACUUUUCAGCUGGCUGAAUUUCUUCUUAAGCUUCAGGGUUGUAGACACAUAUCACUGGAUCUAUAGAUAUGUCUGUUGCAUUGGCAGAAGUGGGUUGCUGGGGUAUAAUGUAGCAAUAGGCAUGUGAAGAACACUGACUUUUUCUAUCCCAUUGAAAAAUAGUAAGUACACUGCACUACAAUAGUCACAUCCUAUACCUCUAAGUAUUGAACAUUGUACAGUAAGAGAAAUUUAUUUCUUUUACUUAUGCAGAUGAUACUUGAUUUUGAUACUCAUCAUCUCUAUGGCUCUGUGGUUUUAAGGUCCACAGUCAGUCUUAAGAGUCCGGAGGUAGUUGGAACCAUAAACUAAGGCUGUGAGAACAGAGGCUAGAGACUAUCAGAAAGCUAGAGAGGGAGUACUGAUGAGGAAAAUAUUUCCAGAUGUUUUCUCCCAAGUUGGAUAUUGCUUACAUAGCAAGUAUUUCAAACCACACCUGGUAGUAGAUUCAGGGAGAAAAUAGAGGAUUGAAUCUUUCUAAAUAAGACACUUACUUGCCCAGGUGCAGAUAGAUCUGAGAGAGAAGAAAAGCUUUUAUCUUACAAGAAUAACAUAGAUGACAUUUUAGUUGUGCAAACUAGAAAUUCACCUUUUGUUUGUUUGUUUGUUUUUAAGACAGACACAGUACUUUUAUUUAUUUUUAUGCUGAGGAUCAAACUCAGUGCCUCACACAUGCUAGGUGAGCACUCUACCACUGAGCCACAACCCCAGCCUGAAAUUCACCUCUCUCUCUCUCUUUUUUUUUUUUUUUUUUAAAUCUAAGCUUGCAAUUCUCUUAAAAGUCAUUAGUCUAAUCAGUUUAGUUAUUUAAUUGAUUUUUUUGUUUUGUUUGAACACAAUCAUUAUUUAGUUUGGGGAAGUUAGGAGAAUAUAGAGUUAAAAGUAAGGAAAGAAAAAGCUAAAGUCUUUUGUUUUUUAGGUGAUCGGAAUAAGAAGAUCAAAGAUCAAAUUAAGCAGAUGAUGGAUGUCUCUCGGGUAUAGUUCUUUGUAAGAGUCCCAUAGUGCCUGUGAAUUCUUCCUGUGCCUCACUUUUAAGAAUACCUCUCUUUUCUGCAAUUUUUAGACACAAACUACAAUAUCAGUAGUUGAAGAGGAUCUAAAACUUUUACAACUUAAGCUAAGAGACUCGAUGUCCACAAAAUGUAAUCUAGAAGGUGGGUUCUUCUUGAGAAGAAAUUGCUAUGUUGGAAAGACUUAAAAUUUUAUUGGAAAGAUAAAGAAUGGCUUCUUGCUUUCGUGCUUCUUACUUUUCUUGGCACUACUCCCUCAAACAAGUUCUUAAGUCCUUGUACACAUAUAGAGAUAAGCUGUUUUAUCCUUUACAGACCAAAUAAAGAAAUUAGAAAGUAACUACAGUUCACUACAGUCUUCUAAAGUUGAACUGGAAGAGGAAUGUAAAACUUUAAGGCAGAAAGUGGAGAUUUUAAAUGAACUCUACCAGCAAAAUGAGAUGGCACUACAAAAGUAAGAUUUUCAUUGUUUGGUAUUGUUAUCACUGUGUGAACUAAUAGAUAAUUUUAUCUUUUCUUAAGAUUAUUUACAAUUUCUUCUAGUUUGUAAUAAGUAGAGAUUUGUCUUUUUUCCUUUGUGUUUUGUUUCCUAUAAGUUGCAUUUUUCUUUCCAUCAUCAGUCUUAAGAGUUCUGAGGUAGUUGGAACCAUAAACUAAGGCUGUGAGGACAUCGUAAUCAAUUGUCAAAUUCAUAUGAAGGCAGGAAGUGGUAAACUGGUAUUAACAGUCACUGAUGUGGAAAUACCUCUCAAAGAUCUAGACCCUUUUUAUGAUCCCACUAUUUAUUUUAAUUACCUUUCAUUGUGAUCAGUUAUGUAAUUCUAAUGUUUUGAACUUGUAUUUCUAACUCUGGACCUUUAAAAAUACUGAGUGAUUUGGAAUGACAUGUUUUAGUAGAAUAAAAACUUCAAAAAGGAAUAAUAUUUACUUAUUGAUGGUACAAGUUUUGGACUUGAAUAUCUCAGAUGUUCACACUAAAAAUUGAACUGUGGCAAGGACCUUAGGAGUUAUGAUUACAGAAGUACUUGUUUGUAGUAUAUAUUUAUAUAUUAAUCUCAGUGUGGAGCUAGUUAUUUUUUGAAAGUUCAUUUGAAGUUUUUAAUCCACAAAAAUACUUGAAUUCUCUAAAAAUAGGUUUUUUGUGUCAGAUUUUAUUUGUUUGCACCUGAUUUUACUCUUCGGCAUAUAUAUAUAUCUUGUAAAGCAAAGACAGACCUUCUUACAGACCUAUUUUUAGGUAUUUUGACUCCUGUUGCCUAAUUAAUGCAUUAAAUAUUGAAACCUUUCCAUUAACUUUUCUAAAAUUCUGUGAUCUCCAAGCGACCUUUUUAGAAUCUCAAAUUUUUGUUCAGGGCAGUUCUAAAUGCCUGGCCUGUUUCAAAGAAACAUUUCUCAUUUUAUCACUUUUUUUUUUUUUUUAAAGAACACUUGUUUUCUCUGUCCCUACUAGUAAUAUGAAUGACCUAAAUGGCAAUUAAUUUUCUUUGUAAUGCAAUUAAAUUGUAGCACUAUUUUCCUCAACUCCUCCAAAAUUCAUUCAGUCAUCAUCUGUGGUUUGUACUCUUUUUACUCAUCCCCGGGUACUAUGUUAGUUCAUGCCUGUGUCAUCUUUUCUGUUCCUAACCUAGAUCAUCUGUCUUCAUUCUCCAUUUUUUUAUAUUUUUUAUAUAACUUAUUUCAAAUUCUUAGUAGUUUUCUCUAUAGCCGCUUGAGUGGACUUUCUAAAAUGUAAGUCUGUCCAAGUCAAUAUGUGCCUGUGGUUUAUGAAGAAUUUGCUUUCUAUUUGAUGACCUGUUCUUUUUUUCUUCCUUGUAUCUUUUUAAUAGUUUAAAUAUUUUUAAUUAUUUUCCUCAUCCCCUGUAUAAGCUUGAUGUAAUCAUAAAUUAUAAUGGAAUUAUAAUUAUAUAAUUAUAAUUUUAUUCAUCUUCUCAUAAUUUAAAGGCCAUGGUAUAUAUUCUGGAUUUAAUAAAAACCUGACAUAGAUUAAUAGGUUUAUUAUUUUUUUUAUGGGCUUUAAGUAGCUCCUGAAUCAGAUAACUGUUGUGGCAUUGUAUGUUAGUACUUCAUAUACUGUGAACUCCACAAGACAUUCAUUCAAUUUAUACACAUAUUUAAAGUUUCUGUAGUUCUGCAUUCUACACUGUUUGUUUCUUAUUUGAAAUUAUUUUCAUUCUAUUUGAACAUUGUCCUUUAAUGAUAGAUUUGAUUAGUGUAUCAAAGUAGUACAAGGAUAAACAGAGAAUAGUAUUUUAUCCACUAAAUAUUGCUACCUUUAUAAUCUGUAUUAGGUUGACAUGAACUUCAUGAUUAGAGUUAAAAACAGUUUCCAUUUUUAAAGGAUCUUUCUUUUGGCUACUGAAUUUUGACUGUUACUUAGUUUUAGCAAUUUAAAAAUAUCCAAUUAAUUACCAUCUGUUUUAAAUUUUUUCUUUAAGGAGUCCAUUAUCACUGUUGUUUGGUCUUAUCCCUCCCCUAGUUCCUGUAGUCAUUUCUCUGUUUUUUUAACCAUUGUAUUGGGAAGUGCCUAGGUGUAGUUUUCCCCACCCCACCCACUUUUUCCUCUUGCAGUUAUGUUGCUUGGGACCAUUAAACAUUUCUUGAAUUUUCGAGUCUUUUUCUAAAUGUUGAUUUUACCUCAUUCUCUCUUCUGAUUAUAAUAAUGCAUAUUAGAAUUUGAUUUCCCCUGCCUCCUACAUUCUGGAUUUACUUCUUCUGGAUAUUUUCUUCUGACCUGUCUCAAAAGUGCUAGGAUUUAUUUUACUUCCCAAAUCUGCUGCUAAAAUCAUUCAUUGAGUUUAGGAUUUUAAAAAAAUCAGGGUUCAAAAUAUUAUUUUAGUUGUAGAUGGACACAGUAUUUUAUUUUAUUUUUAUAGGAUUUUUUUAAGAGAGAGAGAAAGAGAGAAUUUUAAUAUUUAUUUUUUAGUUUUUGGCGGACACAACAUCUUUGUAUGUGGUGCCGAGGAUUGAACCCGGGCCGCAUGCAUACCAGGCGAGCGCGAUACCGCUUGAGCCACAUCCCCAGCCCGACACAAUAUUUUAUUUAUUUUAUGUGGUGUUGAGGACUGAUCCCAGUGCCCCACACAUGUGGGGCACGUGCUUCACCCAUGAGCCACAAUCCCAGUCCUAUUUCAGUACUGCAGCUCAAACCCAGGACCUUGAGCCAUAUGCUCUACUAUUGAGCUACCUCCCCAGACUCCUUGCUCUUUCUCAUAAGGGACUAGGGUCUUACUGCUUUCCAAGCUGUCUUUAAUCUCAUCAUUCUGCCUCUGCCUCCUGAGUAUCUUCCACUGUAGGUAGGUCACCACACCCAACUAUUUCUUGGUUUUAUAGUUUCUAAUCCUUUGACAAAAUUCAUAAUCUUUUUUUUCCCCUCUUUUGUGGUGCUGGGGUUUGAACCCAGAGCCUUGUGCAUGCGAGGCAGCACUCUACCAACUAAACUAUAUUCCCAGCCCUGAAAUUCAUAAUCUUGACUUUACUUUUUUGACUAUAUAAAAAGCACAGUGAUUUUAAAACAUGUGCGGAUAACCCCAUUAGGUGGUUUCCUUUUCUGUGGGAUUUUUUCUCACAGAAUUUUGUCUUAUGGAGUGCCUGGUCAGUUUUGAUUGGCCAACAUUGUUGUGAUAAUUAUAGAUGAAAUUUGAGGACUAAGAUGAAGUUAUCUUCUUAUAGAAAAGUGUUGAGGUUACUUGAGUAAGAUUGUUACUUUAAACUUAGUCAGCAAUUAAGAUAAUUCAAAAAUGACUUGUCUUUUCAAUGUUUCAUUAUUGUUCCUUUUGGAUUUUUUGCCUGUUCAUCACUUAAGUGUGCAGUACUUUCUAAUCUAAACUCAAAGGCUAGGGCUUUUAUUAAGGGUCCCUUUAUUUGUAGCCCCAAACACUUCUUUUUUCCUCUAAGCCCAGGAAUUUGAUGAAGGCUUAGUUCAGUCUCAUUAUAUCUUUGUGUUAUCUUCAAUAUGUGGGUGAACCUAGGAGAAAAGUACCUUAAAGUGCCAGCCUUACUUGUAAUUCUGAGAUUCCCUUUUCUAAUGGAUCUUGGCCACAUACAUAUAUCUUCACUGCCUUUUUAGCUUGGAUCCCUUCAAACACAAUUUUAUAUUCUUAUAAAGAUGUUUUGAUUGUUCUUAGUGCUCUCAGACUAACUCUUUGAUAAUUGGAAACAAAAUUCUCUCUGUCCUUCAAGAUUCAGUUUUCUCCAUAUUCCUUCUUAAGCCAGUGGGGAAAAUUAUUAUAUUCCUUUAGGCAUCAUUUAUACCUGAAACAGUGAGCUCUUUUAUUCUUUAGCAUCUUACAAGAUAACUAGUAUAUUAUAGCCACUCAUAGAAUACUUGCUGAAGAAUUAAAUGAGAAGCUAUAUAAGAAUAUAUAAUCCCCUUUUUCUAUUUGGUAUCAAUAAUCCUUUUUUACUAUAGUUCUUCUGAUUUAUGGAAAAUUAAGUUUCAACUUAAUUAUCUUUUGAAUUGGAACUAUGGCUAAAGUAGUACAAGGAUAGCAGAAAAUAGUAUUUUUUAAAUCAUUAAAUGUGGCUACCUUUGUCUCAGUAGAUGAACAUCUUGAGUUUCAUGAUCAGAGUUAAAACUUGUCAGUAGAUAAUACUCUGAUCGUCGGUCAGUUUGGCUUCUUUUUCUGGUUGACAGACAUUAUCAAAACUCAGAUUUGUCUUUUUGCUUAAUUACAGUUCUUUUGAAAUAGAUAUCUAAAGUGUGAAAAAUGUUCUGUGGUUAAUUGCAUAGCUAAAAGACAUAUUCUAGAAGAUUUUUUCUUUGACUGACUAUAUCUUUAUUAUGGUACCAGUCUUGGAUUGAGAAAAGAGUUCCUCCAUGACAAAGAUAUACUUAGUGUCCUACCCAUGGCAGAAACGAGAAAAGAAUUAUCCCCUGCUUUAUCCUAAUAUGUUUAAUUAUGUUAGGUUGUUCAGUCCUGAUCUUCCACAUUGAAGUAAAGUGAGUUUUUAUUAUCUUACACACAGGAGACUUGCCCUUGGGGCACAUGUUGUUUUCACAUUUAUUUUAUUUACUGGUAAGUAGAGAAUUAAGAGGAGAAGUUAGAAAAUGUAAGUGAUUUGCCAGAGUUUGAUUUACGAAAUUGCAGGUUUGAAUUCCUAUUUUAUGUGCCUAAGCAUUUUAUAGAAUUGUGGGAAGUGAUAUUCACAAAGAGAAACUUUUGAUUUGAUAACUGGCUUUAUUUUAGGAAACUGAGUCAAGAAGAAUAUGAGAGACUAGAAAAAGAGCAGCGGCUGUCAGCUGCAGAUGAAAAGGUGGUUUCCGCUGUAGAGGAAGUUAAAAAUUACAAGUGAGUUCAGUUUCUAAAGGAGGGUGUCAAUGUCUAAUGAACUAGGUUAGCUUUCUUUUUAAUCUUUUUUUACAUUAUGUAGAUAGAAGAAAAUAGCAUGGAAGUAUAAAUAACGAGAGGAUAUGAAUACAUUCAAUUCACACAGGAGAAAAAAUAAAUUUCAACUUAACAAAUGAAAAAUGUUAACAAAAAUUUACUUAUACCCAAUGGGCAAGACCAUAGGGAACUUGGUCAAUGCAAACAGUUCUGGGGGUUUUGUAUGUUGUGGUAAUUCUUUAAGAAAUCAGUUUGCUGUGUGAUGUAUCAAGACCCACAAAAGUGUGGCAUUUGAUAGACCUUGGAAAUCUUCUAUGGAUAUAAUUUGAAAAAAAGAAAAAAAGUUUUAAGGAGAAAGAUAUUUCUAGCUCAAUUACUUGAGAACACACUGAUGAACAGUUAAGGAAAUUAUAAUUUAUCAAUUCAGAAUCUCUAGCAAUUAAAUGAUAAAGAAGUUAUUAGUAUUAGGUUUUUAUUUCAUUUAUUUAUUUAUUUUUGGUGCUUUACUACUAAGCUACAUCCUUAGACCUCUUUUUUACUUUGAGAAAGGGUCUCAGUUGCAUAGGUUCCCACUUAAUUGCUGAGACUGACCUCGAACUUGUGAUCCUCCUGCCUCAGCUUCCCAAUCAUUGGGAUUACUGGCAUGUGGCAUUGCACCUGGCCUGUAGUAUUAGUUUUGAUCACACUGGAUUCAUAUAACUAUAGAAAUGUUUUUCUUAUGUAUGAUAAAGUCUUUAAAAGUAUAGCUGAUGGAAUAAAGGGAAAAUGGUCAGAAUGUUUCAAAUUUUAUUCAAUUGUUGUAAUUCUUAGGCGGAGAAUUAAAGAGAUGGAAGAAGAAUUACAGAAAACCGAGCGCUCAUUUAAAAACCAGGUAGUAAUUAAUACUGUCCUGUAGUUGCAGAAUUCUUUGAUAUCUAAUACAGACAAUUAUAGGCUAUUAUAAUGAGUCUGUAAAAACAUUUUUUUAAUGUGUUGUCUUUUUCAGAUUGCUAUGCAAGAGAAGAAAGCUCAUGAUAAUUGGGUAAGAUUUUUUUCCCCCUUUUCUUUAUUUUGUGCAUAGCCUACUGCAACUGAAUUUGAAUAUUUUCUCUUUAAUAGCUCAAAGCUCGUUCUGCAGAAAGAGCUAUAGCUGAAGAGAAAAGGGAAACUGCUAUUUUGAGACAGAAGUAUGUGAUUUUGGUAUCUUACUAUAUGUUUUAUAGUGUUUUAAGGUUAUGCUAGAUAUUAUCUAUGAUAGAUUGCUGUUUCAUAAUUUAGCCCAUUCUUUCUCAAUAUUCAAGACUAUUGGAAAUGGCCCAAAAGAUGGCAAUGCAGCAAGAAGAACCUGUGAUUGUAAAACCAAUGCCGGGAAGACCAAAUUUACAAAAUCCUCCUCGGAGAGGUAGGGGGCACUUUGUAAAAGGAGCUAUUUUAUUUCUUGGUGCAGAAUGUAUGUAAAUUACUUUUUAUUUCUGUGUGUAACGGUUAUGAAAUAAUCUGAACGAUUUGCUAAAGCGGGAGGUGGGGGUUGGUGUCAGGGAGAAGGCUGCCUUAAAGUAGUAACACGGCAUUGUUGCUUUAGGUCCCCUGAGCCAGAAUGGCUCUUUUGGUCCAUCCCCCAUGAGUGGUGGAGAAUGUUCCCCUCCACUGACAGCAGAGCCAGCUGGGAGACCUCCUUCUGCUACCCUUAAUCGAAGAGAUAUGCCUAGAAGUGGAUUUGGUGAGCAUUCACAUGUUGCUUUAUAGUAAACUGCUUCAAGGUUUUGGUUUUUUUUCCCUUUUGAAUAUUCUAAUGAAAACAUAGAAUUUGGGCCUGUACAAUAUAUAGAAGAUAAUUUCUUACUUUUUCUUAGUGAAUGUUUUCUAUAAAAUCUGUUCUAGAAUAGAAAACAUUUUUUUUUUUCCUGGAGGUCCCUGUAUUGUUUUUUUCUUUUAAAUUUUACACUGUGAAGUGUAAACCUUUAUAUUUAAAUUAAAUCUCUAUGAUGUUCCUUUCCCAAAUAUUAUAAAAGUAGCCUUAAACUUUAUGUAUCAUACAUAUUUCCAAUAUGAAAUACUGAGUCUUAUUUCCAAUUCUAAAUAGGACUGUAGUCUUGGUAAGAUUGGAAUUCAGGUUAUACAGAUUAAAGAAAAGCCAGCCUACACAUACUUAAGUCUAUAGCUUAAAGUUCAGGACCAGUACUUAUUAAUCUGCUGUUCUAUCAACCCAAGGCAGUUCUUUAUUUUAUUUAAGUCUCUUCAUAAAUUGUGAUUUACUAUUGAGCAACCCAUUUUUUAAAAUAUUUUUAAUUGUAGAUGGACAUGAUAUCUUUAUUUUUUAAAUGUGGUGCUGAGAAUCAAACCCAGUGCGUCACACAUGCUAGGCAAACACUCUACAACUGAGCUACGACCCCAAACCCUGGGCAACCCAUUUUUAAUGUUGCUUUGUAGUUAUUGUUGAACCCUGACCUGUCCACCAGUGGUUUAUUUCUUCUGAAAAAUACAUACAAGGGCUCUGAUCUUUCUUUCCCAAGGGUCAAUGGAUGGACCUUUACCUCGUACUCAAUGGUCUUCUGAGGCAUCUGGGAAACCCGUUGCCUCUGGUAAAGGGACCAAGUAAUUUCAAAGAAUCUAAUUGUGGAUGCAGGAUUUUUAUUCUUUUCAUGUUAGAAUAAGUCUGAAUCCAUUCUUUGAUCUCUAACAGACCCAGGAUGUGGUCCAGCUCACAUGAAUAGCAGCUCCAGAAGUUCUUCUCCAGCUAAGGUGACAGAUGAGGGCAAGGUAAGUUCUGUAGUUACUGUGAAUCAUGUGGUCGUGCAGGAACAUGUAGCUUUCCUACAGUACUUGCUCUUUGCUUUAUCCUUCUUUGUGUUCUAUUUGUACUAUCCCAUUUGUUUUUUAAAAAGCAAACUGUUCCCCAAGAACCUGAGACCCCCUCAAUUUCCACCAUUACUUCUUUGACUGAGCAUCCAGUUGGAGUAAGUACUUAGAGGUUGAGAACUGAAUUGGGUUUUAUUCUGUGCAUUUCUGGGAAGGAUAUUCAUAGCAUGACACUGAUCUUGUUUGCUUUAAAACUGCAUGCAAUAUUGAGCUUACUUUUCUCCUUAACUUGGGAAUGUUGCUUAAGUGUGUACAACUAUAAUGAACUACAGAAUGUGAAAAGUUAUCACUAUAUGUGGUGUUUUGUGUUGAAUGUUCUAAGGCAAAGUAAAUUCAUUAUAAAUUAUAUAAUUCAUCAUUUUUAUUUUUGUUUGGAAGAAUGCUAUUUAAGAAUUCCUCCAUUGUGCAAACCCUAUUUUGAGUGAUUUGAAUUAGAUUGGUAUCAGAUUUUCUGAAAGUGAAAUACUGUUUCAGUGAAACAAUGAUAAUCUGAAAUGACCUCUUGAGCCAGUCCCAAGCAAUGGUCUCAUUUGUUCACAUAAGUGCAUUCUCUUGUAACUGUGUUGCUAUUAUAUCUGGUAGGUCUUCUGCAGCUCUAUAAUAAAAUAAAUUUUUAAUUGUUUAGUUUCAAACCCACUACUCAUAGGAAAUGAUAAAUCAAUAUCUCAAAUGGUGUACAGUAAAUGAAAGUAAAUAUUAAAGCCUUGUCUUCCUUGGAAAUUUGUGUAUAUAGCACUGUGUUGGAAAAUACUUCUCAAGUUCCAGUGUAUAUAUAUUCCAGGAAUAUACAUCUCUGGAGAAAUCUAAGGGCAGCUUAGAUAAGACCCCAAACCCCUUUGUAGUAGAAGAUUUAAAAGAGAGCAAAGACCCGUUGUUAGAGAGGAGUAGAGGUGGGAAAAGCAUGGCUUGGAGGCAAACCUUGGGAUUGAGUUCCUUUAAUAUGCAGUGUGGCCUUCAACAAAUUAUGAUAUUCCAUUUGCUUUUGUUCCCUUUUAUUUAAAACAAGACAGUCUACUUAAAGAUCUCAGAGGUUGAAUAAUAUAUGAAAGACUUACUGAAGAUACUCUGAAUAGUAGCUAUUAUUACAUGGGUAGAGAAUGGAUUUUUCAUUUUAUUCUGUUCAUUCUUAAUAUGUAAGUAAUGAGCUAUUGUGAUGAAAGGGAAGUGAUGGGGAGGGGGGACUCCCUUUGAAAUAGAUUGUAGUGAAUACAGCAUGACAUACUGGUCAGAAAUCACCUCUGUAAAUAACCUCUGCCAGUCCUCUUGCCUUUCCCUUUCCUGUGCAGAUAUAAUCAGUAACAAACUGCUCCCUCUUGUGGCAUCCUUCUAACUUCUGUAAGCUGUCAGUGGGAAUACACAGGAGGGGUGGGGAGAGUUUUGUUGCACUGAUGGUGUUCUCUGGACAGGUGCUUGUUUUGGGUUUUAGCUUUUAUCGGUGUUGGUACUUUGUCUUAAUACAUAGGAAUUUUAAAACUUUUAACUGCUUUCAAAUCUUAAAUUGCAGGUUAAUAUGGCUAUGAAAGGGCCCCCUCCUUUCUCAGGGGUACCCUUCAUGGGCCCCCCGAUGGGACCCCCUAUAGGACGGCCUCCAUCACCUCCCAUUCGGCAUGGACCGCCACUUCAGCUCGAUGGGCCUUUUGGGCCUUGGCCAAUUCCUCCACCAUUUGGUAUGAUGAUCUGAACAGUAGUGAUUGACUUAUAAAUCACAUUCAUCUUUCAUUUCUAUUGCUUGCUAAAACAGUUGGUUGCUAUCUCAAUUCUUAACAAUGAAAGGAUAAAGCUGAGUACAUUUUAACUUUUCCUCCAGUUUUCUGGGACAUAUGGGACACUACAUAAUCUUAUACUGAGAUAGGCAAUAACUAUCUCUCAUAGACAAGGAUAAGGGGCUAUAUACAGAAAAGCAAGAAAUAUUACUUCUGCAGAUGUUUGUUGAAAAUCUGUUGAUAUGCACUGCAAUAGAUGGAAAGGUGGAUGAGACACAUGCCAUAACUUAAAAUUUUGUCACAGAUAUGAAAAUCCUAUAACAUAAAGUUUGUAAUCACCCAUAAUGGAAGCAUAAGCAGUAGGUUAUAGAAUAUAGAAAAGAAAAAGUCAAACCCUCCUUACCUUAAGAAAAGUCAGAGGGAAGUGUUAAAGAGGAGGAUUUAACAGUGACCUAAUAAAUGUUGCUGAUUUAAUUAGGUGGCUGUGGAAGGCCUUUUCCAGGAGGGCAUGCACCUUGAUUCUGAUGGCAUGUGUAAAGUCCAUGCUGAAAUACUUCAUGAAUUUUUAAUGGAUACAGUAAUAAAUAGUGGGAUUUCCUUUUAUCAAAAUUUAUUUGAUGUAGUAAAGUUCUUAUUUCAUAAUCUAUCAUCUUGUCAUGGUAAUAUAGUACUUCCAAAUAUAAAUGGAGCUCUUGUGAGAUAGAAAUAAUUUUGCAAUUAUAUAGUAGGGAAAGAAAAAAGACAAGCCUGGAGCUAGGUAGAGCCAUGUUUAAAUCCUUAAUAUGUUGCUUCAUGGAUGGUUGGCCAAAGGCUAUAACCUAAACUUGUUCCAUCUCAGUUUGCCUCAUCUGGCAAGUCAGGAUGUUCACCAGUUGAUGUUCUAGGCUUGGGAGAAAUUAAAGACUAUAUUAACAUACUUGAAAUCACCCUAGUUCAGAAAUUUCUGGGUAUUUACAUAACUUCCUUUUUAUUUUCCAGGUCCUGGUAUUCGUCCACCAAUAGGCUUCAGAGCAUAUGCACCAGGUGUUCCACCUGGAAAACGGGAUUUGCCUUUUGACCCUCGUGAUUUUUUUCCAGGACCCGCACCAUUUAGACCUUUAGGCUCAUUUGGCCCAAGAGAGCACUUCAUUCCUGGUGCCCCAUUACCACCUCCAACUCAUGGUCCCCAAGACUAUGGGCCACCACCUGUUGCAAAAGACUUAAUUAAGCCUUCAGGCUUUAAAGAUGAACCUCCACCUACACCUGAUUCUCAGAGUAGUGAGGGCUAUUCACAGGCCUUAAAACUGGGCCCAUAAAAUUAACCUCUGACACUUAGUCAGAAAGUGGAUUAUGAACUAUUCAUUGUGUUAAAGAAUUAUUGGCUUCAAAAUAUAAAAGUUAUUUUAAAUGGUUUAUGUUUUUAGAAUGAAGCUGCCUUGGCGCAGUACACAUUUUGAGCCAAAAUAUUUUCCCCCUAAAUAUCCCCCACUUAAGCUAGAGUAUCCUUCCAACUUUAAAACGUGCAAUAAGGAAUACCUUUGUCUUAGUUAAUGUAGCAUAUACAAUUGCUAAAUGAUUUAGAAUGUCAUAAUUAUGGACAUUUCCUGUGGAAAUGCUUUAAGAACAUGUAUUUCCAUUAUCCUAUUUUUAGUGUAUUCCAGUUGAUACAGAGAAAUGGUGUUUUAUAAGCUUGAUUUUUCUCUUCUAAUAUCUGGUCACAGAGACUGUUACGCUAAAAAUGUUUACUCAAAGAUCAUAAACUUCAUUUUCCUUCUUGCUGAAGUUCUUUGUUGUAAUAGUUCAUAAAAAAUUGUUUAUUAAUAUUUCCCAAGUGUCUGUUGAUUCAUUGGAUCGUCAUGAGACUUUGUGCCAUUGGGGAAGCAUGUAAACUCACUCUCAGAACUGAAGAUGGUGACUUGGCAGCAUAUUCCCUGUUGCUCACUGUUAAGGAGGCUGGACCUUGGUCAACUGUGGACUUCUACAGAGGAUUUCUUUUACUUGUGAGAAGUCUUGUGGCUCUAUUUUUGUAGCACAUUCAUGUACUUUUUUCUAACCAUUGUCCAUGUGAGAAUGGUUUUCUGAGAAUGAGUUUACAUUAGUAGCAAGAGUUGUUUGACCUGAAGUUCUACUGCUUUUGCCAUUAUUGCAUUAUAACAGUAAA